rnacentral:lncRNA from 1 species
CUGCAUACGUACUCAAAGCAAGCCUCGAUACGCGGUUCACAGACACGCCCCCGAGAUUACCCGAAGCGCGAUUCGAAGCUUCGACACACAGGACACAUCACUAAUUAUUAAAGCUGUUCUUCGUUUCUCAAGUGUUGCUGGAGUUCCUGCUUUUUUGAGUUUUUUAGUUUAACAUGAAUGCAGAGGUAUAUCUCUUUAAUAUGACUAUUUUCUUCUUGUUUUACAGAACAAAAUGACCAUAAAAAGCUUGUUUGGAUUCUCAGUCACCCCAGAGAAUUUGACUCCUACUCCGGUGUUUAUCUACAUCUGCAUUACUGUUGUCUCCUUGCCCAUUCUUCUUGUUGUCAUUGUCACAUACAAGUGUAAACAAAAGAAAAACAGAGGGAGCAAACAUGAAAAUAAGACAGCUGAGAGGAAUUCAACUGAAGCUUUGAGCUCAGGAGAAACAGAAAAUGACAACAAGCAUUCCGAAGUCAGAAAAGCUCAGAGUCAGAAGGAUGAAGAGCACGAGAAGCAGGAAGUUGAGAAGAAGAUUAAGGCAGAGACUCUGAAGGCAAAUGAGAUUGAGGGGAAUGAGUCUGACACUCAGAGUCAAGAUGUAAAAGCUGAAGUCCGGAUGGUCGAGGAUCAGAAUGAAGGGAAUGAAAACCUGCAGACACCAAACAAAGAUGUGAAGACCGACAACGCUGAGCUCUCAAAGUCAGAUGAGGUUUUAAAGAAGACCAAACCUGAACCAGAGAAGCAGAGUGUGGAGAUCAAUACACCAAAGGAGGAGUUGGAGAAAAAUGAGGAGAUGACACCUGACAUGCUUAAGAAAAAGCAGAAGACUUCAUCACUGAAGCUCGCCCUUGCUGUCACCAGGAUAAAUAAACUGGAGGACACAGUUGAUCAGUUUUUCAGUGGUAAAAAUCAGUCGAUGGAAACCGAGCUGGAUAACCUGAAGAGGACGCUGCAGGCCAAAGAAAAAGAGGUUGAUUUCUUCACUUCACUUUUUAUACAUUGGCAUUUAUCCUUUUAUAUUUAGUUUAUAUGAGGUUUAUUUUUAUUUUCAGAUAUAUCAGAUUUCAGGUAUCUAUGUUUAAC